UGGGGAAUAUUGCACAAUGGGCGAAAGCCUGAUGCAGCAACGCCGCGUGAGUGAUGAAGGCCUUCGGGUUGUAAAGCUCUGUCUUCUGGGACGAUAAUGACGGUACCAGAGGAGGAAGCCACGGCUAACUACGUGCCAGCAGCCGCGGUAAUACGUAGGACCCAAGCGUUGUCCGGAUUUACUGGGUGUAAAGGGUGCGCAGGCGGAUGGGUAAGUCAGGGGUGAAAGUCUGCAGCUUAACUGUAGAAUUGCCUUUGAUACUGCUCAUCUUGAGUGUGGGAGAGGUUGAUGGAAUUCCAGGUGUAGCAGUGAAAUGCGUAGAUAUCUGGAAGAACACCAGUGGCGAAGGCGGUCAACUGGCCCAUAACUGACGCUCAUGCACGAAAGCGUGGGGAGCAAACA
rnacentral:rRNA from 1 species